AGGCAGCAGUUAGGAAUAUUGGACAAUGGGCGCAAGCCUGAUCCAGCCAUGCCGCGUGAGUGAUGAAGGCCUUAGGGUCGUAAAGCUCUUUUGUCCGGGACGAUAAUGACGGUACCGGAAGAAUAAGCCCCGGCUAACUUCGUGCCAGCAGCCGCGGUAAUACGAAGGGGGCUAGCGUUGCUCGGAAUCACUGGGCGUAAAGGGCGCGUAGGCGGCCAUUCAAGUCGGGGGUGAAAGCCUGUGGCUCAACCACAGAAUUGCCUUCGAUACUGUUUGGCUUGAGUAUGGUAGAGGUCGGUGGAACUGCGAGUGUAGAGGUGAAAUUCGUAGAUAUUCGCAAGAACACCAGUGGCGAAGGCGGCCGACUGGACCAUUACUGACGCUGACGCGCGAAAGCGUGGGGAGCAAACAGGAUUAGAUACCCGAGUAGUCC
rnacentral:rRNA from 1 species